ACUCCAGUCUUAUUCCGACCUUCUUUAGCAUAACAUCUCGCGAUUCGAUUGUGCCGGCCUGCACCACGACUGGUGACUGGACUGGAGUGUUGAAGUGACAAAAACGUACCCCGCGUGUGACCCCACGAUCUCCGAUAGAAAAGCAUCCUACAUCCACAGGGACCUGAAAUAGAUGACUAGAAAAUCUUUACUGCUCGAAAACAGUGUCACGGAUCAGAUGUGGACUUUUGUUGUUACCUCUGGAACCGUUUUCUCAUAAUUAUGACGAAAUAAUCAGUGAUUCAAUCCUAAAGUGUUAAUUGGGUUACGAUCGCUGCUAUUCGUGGAAAAUGUGUGAUAAACGUGUACCGAUGAUAGGAAGUGUGAUGAUGAUCUGGUGAAUGAUAAAAUUUAUUUUUCAGUUAAAAGCGAAAGAGUCAAAUUGAUCGUUAAAAAAGAGUGUAAAUAUGUGUGCUUAUUUCUGCUGCUCAAAGUGAAGUGACAAGUGAAGAAUAGUGAAUAAAAUUUCCGGAUAGGUACAUUUUAAAAUUCCCCGCUGUCUUACGCACACAUGCACUGACAACCAACGUCCAAAAUGGUCCGUCUACUAGUUCUACUGCUGUGCAUUUCUCUGACAACUACCCAGAAGUCAGCUAACUUUAACUUGAAAGAGAAAGUAGACGUGGACCCACAAGUGCUCGAAAUUCACCGUCAGAAUUUGAUUACGCAGAAAAUCCUGCAGCGUUAUCUCGAGCGUCGUUUGCAUCCGGAGCGAAAACCCCAGAUCCGAGUACCGUCGGUGGACGAAAUUCUGGCUCGGUCGCUGGCAUCGAGUACGGUACGGGACACGCGACAGCACAGCCAAAAUGCAACCAGCCUGUACCGAAGUAACGCCGGCAGUCGAUUUAAUUUGUUUGACGAGCACAACAACAAACAGUACGACGAGGACGGUGACAAUAGAAAUCCGGAAAGAUCAGAACAGCAGGACGACGAGGAUUACGAGGGCGAACGCGAACUGGACCAGUACGACGAUCUGGGGGGCUCGCUGGAUACCGAUCACAUCGACGUAGAUUCGCUGCAGUCCGGCGAAUCGGAACACGUUGACUCGUUCUAUCGGGACAAGUACUACCGGCAGAGAGCAUCUCACCUAUCAGCCGAACAUGAACCACAGCUCGACUGGUCGGCAUUCGAUGAUGAUUUCGUUGACCCAGAGGUGAGCAUCUCGGGUGAGAUAACCAACGAGCUUCAGCUGGAGGAAGACGCCAACGAGCAGAAAGGCGUGACCAACCCGAUGGCGAAUGUGAUCCGACCGAGUAAAGUCCGAGAAAAACGACAGGCCAUUAAUAGCCGUACCAAUCGGAGAAGCCGAACCAGCCCCCAACGGGAACAGACAAUUACGAAUCGAAUCGAUUCUAGGUAUUAUAUUUCAGACGAUUACAUCGAUUACACCACCACUCCGAGGACGGGUAAAAAUCUGCGAGAUAACUGGGCCGAAUAUAGGAUUCUGUCCAAGAGUAAAGCAACGGCAAAUGAAAUCAAAACGAGUCGACCCAGAACUGUCGCAAGUCAAAGUACACUGACGAGAAAUCCUGCUAGAUCCAGAAAUCGGAACACUCUCAAAUCGUUGGCUUACAAACCGAGUUAUAACACUCGGAGACCAUCCUUCACGUUAUCUGCCUACGGAGGUAACAAAACCCCAACACGAGGAAACACAAGGCGCGGUGGAAGCCACAGGGGAUGGAAAGAAGAGGAACAACGCGUGAAUCGUUAUGGACAUACCGCAACGGCUUCGGAUUGGCGCAGAAAGACAGUUAGCCUGGGUAGCACUAGCCUGCAACCCAGUACUCCGGCAUUGACGGUCACAUUCCACCUAUCAACUGAUGCCACUGUGUCUUUGGUAACUAAUUCCCGGACUGAGAUCAGUUUGAUCAAAACAACUACCACCAGCAUUGAAGAAAUUUGCACCACCUGUUUCUCCUUAACUCAGGGACCGAAUGGACUUCCAAUUCAUGUUUUGAACAAAGAAAUUACUUCAUUCAACAACGACGGUCUGUUUGAGAUCACCAAAUUUGUGUUAAGCUCUACCCCUACAACCACCGUGUCGGUCUCGUCGAACACUUUCCGUGGUCGACCGACCGCUUAUUCCGCUACUAUUUCAACUACAAUCUACGAAGCAAGUCCAUUCGUGCAAACCAAAGGCAAUAAUGCCAACAGUGCAGUGCUUUCCAAUGCACCACUGGCUAACAUUCUCCUGUCGCAGUUAUUGCUGGGAAACCUCGGAGUUGGUGAACCAAACUUCGCUCCUCGUCCAACUGAGUUCAUCCCAGAUCCGAAUCGGUACCAGCUGGUGGUCACGACAAACACCGAGUACAAAACUCACGUAAAAGAAGUGGUCAGCACGUUAACGCAAACCAAAUCAAUUGUGCUACCGAUUACAUUCCAAGGUCGAGAAAUCCUCACGACCAUUUUCGACAGUGAAGUAACACCAACCGUGAUCACUUCUUUCAUAACCGAAACCCUAACGAUCCCCACAACUUCGACGAUCCGGAUCCAACCAACGACGGAUGAUCUUUCCAACAAACUAAGCCUUCUAAUUCCUCUGCUGGAAGAACGCGAACGAAGGGCUCAGCUUCUGUCGGCCGCUCCGGUUGAGCCGUUGUUACCCAUCGUUUCCACACCUCCACCCACCAUGAGCCAACUGUCCAGCACUUCGGUAUCGAAGGUCUACGUUUCCGGUCAACAUCCCGGCGAAUUCAGUGUUUCUUUCACCACGAUAAUCAACACGUAGGGAGAUAUUUCGAUUACUACUUUAAGGACACAGUAGAUACGUCUAGCCAGAGUCAAUUUUUAGGAUAGAAUCAAUUAGGAUACAUUCUUCCAAAAUUGCCAAUUACUUUUAGUCAACGGGAGAGUCGCUAGAGACAAGUGCAAAUUUUAGAAUACUCAACCCGAAGGAUGCUAACUUUCCUACAGCUCUCCAUUUGAACUCCAUUUCGAUGCCGCUUGAAUUUAGAAAUGAUUUAUAAUACUCUCUUGUAGGAAAAGUUUAGUAAGAAUAAACGAGCUUUUUGUUA